rnacentral:misc_RNA from 1 species
GAUGAAGAACGUAGCGAAAUGCGAUAAGUAAUGUGAAUUGCAGAAUUCAGUGAAUCAUCGAAUCUUUGAACGCACAUUGCGCCCCCUGGUAUUCCGGGGGGCAUGCCUGUCCGAGCGUCAUUACAACCCUCAAGCUCAGCUUGGUGUUGGGCCCCGCCGCCCCGGCGGGCCCUAAAGUCAGUGGCGGUGCCGUCCGGCUCCGAGCGUAGUAAUUCUUCUCGCUCUGGAGGUCCGGUCGUGUGCUCGCCAGCAACCCCCAAUUUUUUUCAGGUUGACCUCGGAUAAGGUAGGGAUACCCGCUGAACUUAAGCAUAUCAAUAAGCGGAGGA